GACAUAGCUCGAUUAUUAAGUAUAAUGUAACCUUGGAAAUAUGAAAACUUAUUAUUACAAAACAGAUAUUUUCUUACACCGGUCAAUCCGAAACUAGACGAAGUAGUAACGAGUGACCGGGUUUUGUCUCUUUCUCGGCUAUUUUAUCUCAAACUGCAAGAAUGGGAGGAGACUCGAAUUGGCAGACAAAUGCCGAGCUGGAGUACAAGGGCCAUAAAUUUCAAACCGGCUGGUAUGGAAUCUGGAAAUGGAACCACAGAUUCUACAACAACAAGAAUCGCAUUGGGACAAUGGUGACCUUUUUUUCAAUCAUUGUUGGUGGUUGGAUUGGUUCUAAGGUGUUAGGUUACAUGUAUAACAGAAAAGAAAAUGCACGACUUCGUGCGGAGAAGAAUGCCCGAUUCGAGUCAUUCAAGCAGGCAGCUCUCGAGUGGGACAGGAAGGGACGCCCAUCCUUGUAGACCUGAGGACACCAAGGUCUUUAACUGAUUCUUCAGUUGUCAAUGUGGGAACAAGGAAACAACGCUUGUACUUUGUUUUUUUUUAUAUGAAGGAAGAUUUGGAAGUGUACUUUUUUAAGAAUUUAAUACAAGUGCAAAAAGAGCUGUUGUGAAAACUUUGAUGCUGAUGAAAACAGUAAAUUAAGAUAACAUUUAACAAAUUAUGUUUUUUCCAUGUGUUUCUGGAAACUGUUUGCAAGGGUUUUAAAAAUGAUGUUAAAAGAAAUUGACAAUUAAAUGUGUGAAACUU